UAAGCUAUUGUUGCUAAUAUGGCGUUGGU
rnacentral:piRNA from 1 species